AUACUUACCUGGUGUCGGAUUCCUGGUGGUCACUGGGGCCGGGAACCCGUGCGGAGGCCCGUCCAUUGCACUGCGGUGGGCUGAAGCACGCCACUACCCCAAAGCGGGGUAGGUGGGACAUGUAAUUUGUGGUAGUGGGGCUAGGCGUACGCGCCAGCCCCUU